rnacentral:rRNA from 1 species
UACGUAGGGUGCAAGCGUUGUCCGGAAUUAUUGGGCGUAAAGAGCUCGUAGGCGGUCUGUCGCGUCGGCUGUGAAAACCCGGAGCUCAACUCCGGGCCUGCAGUCGAUACGGGCAAACUGGAGUGUUGCAGGGGAGACUGGAAUUCCUGGUGUAGCGGUGAAAUGCGCAGAUAUCAGGAGGAACACCGGUGGCGAAGGCGGGUCUCUGGGCCGACACUGACGCUGAGGAGCGAAAGCGUGGGGAGCGAACAGG